AUGCUCUAAUCCCUAAUUAUCUUUUUAUACAAACAGUAAUUUAGUGAAGUGUUCUUUUUAUAUUGUCAAAUAAACAUGUAAAGGUUUGUAAGAAUGUCCUUGAGAGACAAAAGGAGGAGGAAAAGUCUCCUCGAUGGACAUAGAAGAAGUGGAUUAGCCUGCAGAAGCAAUGGGGGAUGGCAAACAUCUCCCACCCUCUCUCUUGGUCCAUAAAGAUGAGGGGGUAGAAAUAUUGAAAGAUUCUGCUACUGUAACCUUACAACAAAGGUAGUGUUAAUAUUCAUGGUCAGUGAUUCUUCUCUGGACCACCUCAAAGGCUGGCAUGAAGAGGAGAAAACCCAUCAUGAAUAAGGAAUGGGGGCUUUAGGUUAUGUGGGAUUCACAACUGGGAGAUGAGGAUAUUUUUGUUUGUUUUAUUCUUUUCACAUAGGAAAUAUCAGAUAAGUCUGUUUCAUGCAGAUAUGCCAUCAUCCAUUUGCAAUAACAAACCAUUUGUGCAUUUGCUAGCAUGAACCCAUAAGAGGGAACACAUCGCAGAAAUAUAUUUUCCUUGGCAGUUUUCUUCUUCAGAAUAGACCAAUUA